UAACAAUCGUCCUUCCACAUUCAUACAUAAUCUUCAAUAAUCAUGUAUUGUGACUCUGAUCCCCAUCCUGCAGUACAAACCUCUUGCAAGCCCAGCCUCCAAGUUCCAACUGAAAAUAGUCAGUCUUCUGUAUCACAUCACCGCUCAAAAUGCCAUAGCCUGUAUUCUGCAUUGAACUUCAGUAGGCUGACAUCUUCCUAACUUUGUGCAUUAAGCAUGAGACUAGCAGAGAGGUGGUCAAAUGUGAAAAUUUAUAAUCAUUUAUUACGUACGGCUGAAGCGAGAAGAGAAUAAAAGCGUGAAGGCAUACAUCUAUAAACUGGAGCAGAAAAGCUUAAAUGAAAAAUUUCAUUUGAUAGAUGCUAAGACAAAACAUGCCCUCAUACUUGUUAAUGGAAUAAAUGAGCAUAAUUAAUUCAGGGUGCCCGAAUGUGAAGUAUUGUCUUUCUUUGUCUAUCUCCGCAUGCUGUAUGUAUAUAACUGAGAUGCUGCGUAGAUGAGGCUGCUAUUGAACUGUGCCAAGCAUGAUCAACACUUCAUCAUCUAUACUACUGAAGGGUCUCUUCAUCUUCCUGAUAUAUGGGGUGUACAACACAGAGGAGAUGGGGUCUGCAAUAUCCCUAGCAUGGACAGAUUCCUAUAAACAAAUACAAUAUGGAAAUAUUAUUGGAGCACAGUAGAUUCAACACAUCCAGAUAAUAAGUAUCAAGACUGGACACAGCCCAGAUAUCAUGUGUAUUUAGAUAUGCCUCAAAUUUCUGUCAUAUGCUUUUCAUUGGAGGUUUCAGGAUAUAGAAAACAGAAAUAUGAGCUGUGUUUGGCUGUUCGAAUGAAUGUGAAUUAAAACGAACACUC